GCGUUUUUUUUUUUUCUUUAUUAUUACUUUCCUUUUCCUUUAGUGUGUUUAUGUUCUAAGGGGAUCAGGUAGGUUUUAAAGAUUUACAGUACAGUCUAUUCUGGUAAGAAGCCCCAUUGGCUGUCACGGGGUCGUGUUUACAGAAAUACACUCGGAAAUUUAAAGGGACUUUCUGCAUUUACUCAACCGCCAGGGACGCGCGCGCACUUCUUGGGUUUUGUCUCCACCUGGCGGUGAUGUGCGGUAACUACAGCCAGCGGUUUAACAGCAGCCUGCAGCACAGUUCAGCGGGAAAACACACACACACACACACACACACACUCUCUCUCUCUCUCUCUCUCUCUCUCUCUCUCUCUCUCUGUAAAGAUGGAGUGUGUUAGUGAACAUGAUUAAACACGAGCUAAACCCGGCAUUAAAGUGUUUAGUGAUGAUGAGCAGUGACACACACAGUCACUGUCCUGUGAUGAAGCUUGCACAGAUUUACAGCACAACAUGCUGAGAUUUAAUAUUUCCUGCAGAAAUACAGCGCUCAGUCAGAAUACCCGGAUGAGGCAGUGGCAUGUGAUUGGUCCAAGCGAAUCAGCUCCCGCCUACAGGAUGUGUAGUUUAAAGACAAUUACAGUAUAAAGUGGGCUCAGUGGACUUCCGGCAUCAGUGAUGACGUAGACACUCACCUCCAUAAACUCCUCGUGAUUAAAACAUUCCUGUUUUUGGGAAUAUUGUGAAUAUUUUUCUGUGUGUUUCUCCUGGUAUUUUGUUGAAGUUGUGUGUAUAGUGUGUGUGUGUGUGUAUGUAUAUAGUGUGUGUGUGUGUGUGUAUGGUAUGUAUAUAGUGUGUGUGUGUGUAUGGUAUGUAUAUAGUGUGUGUGUGUGUGUGUGUAUGGUAUGUAUAUAGUGUGUGUGUGUAUGAGUAUAGUGUGUGUGUAUAGUGUGUGUGUGUGUGUGUGUGUAUGGUAUGUAUAUAGUGUGUGUGU